rnacentral:rRNA from 1 species
UGGGGAAUAUUGCACAAUGGGCGCAAGCCUGAUGCAGCCAUGCCGCGUGUGUGAAGAAGGCCUUCGGUUGUAAAGCACUUUCAGCGAGGAGGAAGGUGGUGAACUUAAUACGUUCAUCAAUUGACGUUACUCGCAGAAGAAGCACCGGCUAACUCCGUGCCAGCAGCCGCGGUAAUACGGAGGGUGCAAGCGUUAAUCGGAAUUACUGGGCGUAAAGCGCACGCAGGCGGUUUGUUAAGUCAGAUGUGAAAUCCCCGGGCUCAACCUGGGAACUGCAUUUGAAACUGGCAAGCUAGAGUCUCGUAGAGGGGGGUAGAAUUCCAGGUGUAGCGGUGAAAUGCGUAGAGAUCUGGAGGAAUACCGGUGGCGAAGGCGGCCCCCUGGACGAAGACUGACGCUCAGGUGCGAAAGCGUGGGGAGCAAACAGAUUAGAUACCCUGGUAGUCCACGCUGUAAACGAUGUCGAUUUUGGAGGUUGUGCCCCUUGAGGCGUGGUUCCGGAGCUAACG